UUUCGAUGUUGAAAUAUUACUUACUCAAAACAGAGAUACUUCACGCAUUUAAAAAUAAUAUAUAGUUUUAAUCCUUAUCCGUCACACUGUAUAAAAUCGGGCAUUUCAAAACGUAUCGGCAUUCAGGGCCAUGUGCUUGUAGACGUAGAUGCUGUUUAUUUACACAUACUAGCGGGGAGUAUCAUGAACCUAUCUUUAACCAGCCCAGCCACGUGGAGUCUCAAUGACAAGGGGCUGUAUAGAUAUGUCAGGAUACAGGCAGACCCACACACUGAAACUCUGCAAAGUCACAGUCAAAGGAUACCCCCAACCAAGGACACCCUACUUCUGGGUUAUCACUGGUGUUACCAUGGCGAAUCCUCUUGUAAGAAGAGUCUUCAAGGUUGUGAGAAAAUCAUGUGUGCGUUUGUCCUCGUCAAAUAGAAUUAGCAUGUGUGACAUCACUGUCCGAUCAGGCCACACAGAGCUGCACACUGUUCAGUGGGUUUGAGCACACCUGUGACUCCAAUAAUGCAAAUACAAUUGUGUUCCGGUUGGCUGCUAAUUUCCUUGAAUAAUAGCAUUGAUUUUAUUGCCCUUUCUACACAUGAGUGUUUUUGUCGAUUUUAUCUCCAGUUAACACCAAUAUGUCUAUAUAAUUGUUUAAAAAAAGAGAUAAACAAAAUAUAAUGCAUGUUAAGAUAAACGGUUCCAGAAUAUCAAUAACAGACACCAAAGGCGUAUCAUUCAAUAAAUAUUUUCCCAUGUUCUGAAGCUAAUUUGCAAUAACACAUCGCAAUAUAGUCUCAAUUAAUAUUUUUUGUGAAUGUCAGUGUUCCAAAUUUUACUCUUAUAUAACUUGCAGCCAAAUAGAAAUGUUCCUAGAACAAUAGGCUAAUGAAUUCAAGCUUUCUUUGCUGAUGUAAAAUGAUACUUGAAGUCUCCACUUAUAGUUGCUGUCCAUGUACGAGUUUUUAAAUGGAUUUCAUAAGCAUUUCUUGGAACAAUACUUUUUUUCAAGCUGUCAUAAAUAAUCAUAUUACAUAAGAGAUGGGUUGAUUAACACCAGGGCUCGACCAGUUUUCAUGUUCAGAUUAUAUACAAUAUUAUUUGCCGUGAAAAAAAAACACAAUGAGAAUUUUUUAUACUAUCAUUGUUUUCGAUGCAUUGUUUUGUUGUCGUUGAUUAAAAUCGCCAUUAGAACCAAUUUCAGCAAAUUAAUUAUCAAAAUGAAACUUGACUGUGUCCCUAGCCCAAAGUGGAACAAUCAACAGACAAUAAUAUGCACAAGUGUACUUGUCUGUUCUCAGAAUGUUAAUAUUUAAGUCCACUCAAAUUGAUGUUUCACUGUUACAAUUGACAGCAAGAUCAAAUAUAAUUAUAAACAAAUCUGGAAUUUUUAGCACUUUUUUAUUUAAAAAUAGUAAUAUUAAAAAGAAUAAGUGGAAAUCAAAAUUGUUUUGUAGUGUAAGGGACACAACUCGUAUUGUCUUGUUCAACUUCAAGCAUGCAGUCAUGAGUUCUUUGUAUUGAGGUUUAUAUCUGUGCAAACAUAUAAAAUACAUGUAUUCUAUAGGUCUUUGAUCUGUGUGAAUCUAUUAAUAAAGUAUGUUGUGAGUUA